rnacentral:rRNA from 1 species
GGGGAAUAUUGGGCAAUGAGCGCAAGCCUGACCCAGCAACGCCGCGUGAAGGAAGAAGGCUUUCGGGUUGUAAACUUCUUUUAGCAGGGACGAAGACGUGACGGUACCUGCAGAAUAAGCUCCGGCUUACUACGUGCCAGCAGCCGCGGUAAUACGUAGGGAGCAAGCGUUAUCCGGAUUUACUGGGUGUAAAGGGCGCGUAGGCGGGAGUAUAAGUCAGAUGUGAAAUCUGGGGGCUCAACCCCCAAACUGCAUUUGAAACUAUAUUUCUUGAGUGAUGGAGAGGCAAGUGGAAUUCCUAGUGUAGCGGUGAAAUGCGUAGAUAUUAGGAGGAACACCAGUGGCGAAGGCGACUUGCCGGACAUUAACUGACGCUGAGGCGCGAAAGCGUGGGGAGCAAAC